GUGUACGUAUUGCAUUUUGCAUUUGUUGAGCGACACAGCAGCUACCAAAACAAACGAUGAACCUUUGUCUUCCACGCAAAAAUCAAGUGCUUUCCCUUAAAAAACGUUGAUGUAUGUACUCGUUCAUGUGGCAUUCGGAAACUUUGCACCGUAAAUCGUCGGGAGAUCAACAUUCCAUAAACUUUCAGGACCGGGAAAAGGGUGAAAUUUGACGUCAAAAUAAGCACGCAUGAAAUUCUUCAACAUGAGUUCAACACCGAGCGCCAAGCCGGCCGUAGCGGCCACUCCCGCGCUCUACUUGCUGUAUCGGCUGCACGAAUUCAAGCAGAGGUGUAAAGAAAGGACAUCGGUCAGUAUACCCCCGAAAGAGAGGCAAAUUACAGAGAGAGAUCUACAAAUUUUGAAUAGAAAAAUAGAUAAAUUACUUCGUAAACUAGACAAGAUUGACACAGCUGAACCUUUGCCUACCAAAGAUGAAGAGUGUGUGGUAUGCCUGACCAGGAAAGCCGUGAUAUGUACGUACCCCUGCACGCACCGCGUCGUCUGCCGAAAGUGUUUCGUCAAGACGAUUCAGAUGGCCCUGUCUCAACGCCUCCUGCCGCUACGCUGCGUCGUCUGCCGCUCAAAGGUACAGCACCUUGAGCAGAGCCAGGUAGUUCAUCCCCUAUAGUGGACAUCAAGUCUUAAUCCCUGGACAUUGAUCCUAUAGUGGUCAUCAAGUCUUAACAAUCUCUAAAACUUGACAUCAGUGGACAUGCAGUCUUUUCAAUCCCUGGACAUUGGUCCUAUAGUGGUCAUCAAGUCUUAAUCCCUGGACAUUGGUCCUAUAGUGGUCAUCAAGUCUUAACAAUCUCUAAAACUUGACAAUAGUGGACAUACGGACUUAUCAAUCCCUGGACCUUGGUCCUAUAGCGGACGUAUGCUUAGACACUAGUGGACACCAAGUCUUAAUCCCUGGACAUUGAUCCUAUAGUGGUCAUCAAGUCUUAACAAUCUCUAAAACUUGACAUUAAUGGACAUGCAGUCUUUUCAAUCCCUGGACAUUGGUCUUAUAGUGGUCAAGUCUUAACAAUCCCUAAAGACUUGACAUUAGUGGACAUGCGAUCUUAUCAAUCCCUGGCCAUUGGUCCUAUAGUGGUCAUCAAGUCUUAUCAAUCCCUAAAGACUUGACAUUAGUGGACAUGCGAUCUUAUCAGUCCUGGACAUCGGUCCUGUAGUUGAUGUCAAGUCUUAACUAUCCUUGGACACUAGAGGACAUCAAGUCUUAAUUCCUGGACAUUGAUCCUAUAGUGGACAUCAAGUCUUAACAAUCCCUGUAAGGGAUGCCAUGUUUCCAGGAGCUACAAUGUAUUUCCUUACUGUCACUUGUUAUAGAGAAUUGUACAAUUAAACUUAAGUUAUUUUUUGAGAAUAAUCUAUUGUUUUCGUACAUACUACAGUUUAGGCCAGAAGUUUGCAUACGCCCAGUAACUUUAAAUAAAAGUUGACACUUGCCAAACAUCAUUAAAUUUACUGUAUCUUAUAAAAUGUUUGUGCUAUCAUGACAAAUUUGAUAUCGAAGAAAUGAGUAUGUUGUUCCCCUUCAUCACAUUGCUUUAUCAUCAGGAGCUGAAAAGAAAAAUAUUUAGGUGUCAUUUUUCUACAAAAAAAUCUUCAAAUUUUAGACAAGUUCAAAAUAACAACUUGACAAAACAUUUCAUAUUUGUGCUAGUUACUUCUUGACACAAACAUUUCAGAUUAGACUUUUUUGUUCAGUGGUGACAUAUCAUGAUAGCAAAUGUAAUAUAAUUCAUGAUGUUUGAAAAUAUAAUAACAAACAUAAAACAUUUGGCACGAAUAUUACUUUUUUCUUCAAAGAAAAUUCCACCUGAAAUAUACUUUAAUCCCAACAGCAUCCCAAUCAUGUAAAAAGUGUUUAAUACGCUCUUUCAUUUGAUACCAAAUUCCUCAUGGUAGUAGAAGAUAGAGUAAAUUUUACGAUGUUUGGCAAGAGAACGUACAUGUAUUUCACUGAAUAUUCCAUAGGUUAUGUAAACUUUUGGCCUCAAUUGUAUGUAGGGAACCUGAACAUAAUGAAUUCCAUGUAUUACUGUUAGUGUGUCAGUAGUGAAAAAAUAAACACCUAAAAUCCACAUGUUGCGUACAUGCGUAAAGUGAAAUUGCAUUAAUAUAUAAUGUGAAACAAUGUAGUUUUCUGUAAACAUUAUUGCGAUACUAUGCUCACUCAAUACUGGGCAUAUAUGAAAGAUAAAAGAAGCCAAAAUUUCAUGAAGCAAUCAGAAUUGUGAAAUUGAUGACGUUCAAACCUGUAUUACCUGCAGAUCAUAAUCAAUUCAAUCUAAUUUAAUUUAAUUCACCAAAGGUGAACAUCUAUAAAACAUGUAGACAGAUUGCACUCCAUGUUUGCCUGAAGUUAUUAUGUCAGUUAAGGCGUCGUUAUUUUCGAGAAAUAUGCUUUCUGUUAUUUCUAAAACCAUGUAGUUUCCUAUGUGGAAAUCAAGCAUAUAAUCACCCUAAGGUAGUAUCAGUGGUUGAUAAACACUAUCACUGAUGAAUUCCUUUAUAAUGUAAAUGAUUUAUAACUCUCUUUCACAGGCAUUAUUAUUUACGAUAGCUACAUCUAUUUCCAAAUUUUCGUAGAACUACAUGCAGGACAUGUUGGUGUUCCCAUCAAUUUCAGUUAACAGUGAUUUUUUGCUUUCUAUCACAAAAAAUACGUUUAAAAUUGUCACUACAAUAUUGUCAGUAGAGAUUAUGAAUAUAAAUUUUUAGAUAUUGCCAGCAUUUGAAGAUUUCUUUAAAAUGUAAUAUCCAUUUGCUUACUUGCUUGAAAGAUUCAAAGAUAUUUUGAAUCAUUGUACAUGUAUUGGAAUAUUCAACAUGUUUAUUUCACUUCUAACUAUGGGAUGUGGUAAUUUUGGUUACAAUAUUAUAUUUCUGAUCAAUUUUUCCUCUAUCAAUGUGCCAUCCAUUUAGAAAUUUAGUAUUGCUAUCUAUUUCUUUGCAUUAUUUCUAUGUUAUUCUAUACUUCACUGAAAUAGUUGCAGAUAUGUAUCAUUGAAAGAGCUCUAUCUCUUGAAUGCAAGACAACAUUCCGAUAAUAUGCUUAUAAAAUGUACAUUUUUCAUUAUUUCUAUUUCUAUGUAGAUAUAUCUACAUGUAGAUAUUAGAUUUCAGGAAUGUUUCUCUCAAGUGAGUCAUUAACAUUAAUUGAUAGAUGAAAGAGAUAUUAUUUCAGGGUGAUAUUACAUGUAAUUUCAUGGUGAAAUUAAAUGUAAUUUCAAAGGAAACUGAGCUAUUAAAAGAUAUUAUUUAUUUAGUAUAAUGUUUUAAGAGGACAAUUUAAUUUAUAUAUGUAUGGUUCUUGGCUACAUAUAAAUGGCUGCAUGGGCCAACAUGAUACACACACUCCUAGACUAGGUAAAUGUGCAAAUUAAAAAAAAAAGUUGCAAAAAAAAAUAGAUCAAUUGGUAUAUUAAACUCAAACUGCUGUGUACAGUAACCCGAUUCAGAGGUAUUUGAAAUUCAAAUAAUUCCUUUGUAAAAGCUUGUACAUAAUUCAGUAUUGAAACCUAAACCUAAUUUAGUUUCUGUACACUGUAAUGUACAAAUCAAUUGAUUGAGUUGGAAAAGGCAUGGACCUACAUGUAGCAGAUCCAUGGAUAGAGAGGGAGAGAGGGAGAGACCAGCAAUCAUUUAGAUGAUAUUCUAGACAGUGGUAUAUACAUAUAUUUAAUAGAUUUACUGAGUUACAAUGUACACAUAACAGUAGGUUAGAAACCAAACAGUAUAUAUAUAGUACUGCAAUAGAUGGUGAUUAUUCCACAUGAUAUAACAUUAUAAUGAGUGCCUUGAGGUACACAAAUGAAAUUUGCAAUACUAACUGUAUGAGAUGUCUGUGGUGUGUAGCGUACGUAUCAUUUUUAUACCUUGUUGAUUUAGGUAUAUAUAUAUAUGUAAGGUGUUUUUCUUGAUGUAAGAUUAAGUAGCAUUUUGUGGUGGUAAUAUGAAACGGGCAUUCGUGGUUUGUGACGUUUUUAGGAGCGAGGAUCGGCUUUCAUCUCCUUGGUCAGUUGAUUGUAAACCCUCAAUGCUGGUUUUCUAAAUAUUAAGUAAGCAUGCAGUAGAUACAUGUACAUGCACCUUUUUUCUUUCUCCAACUAAGCACUAGUAUAUGCAUGAAGUUGUUACAUGUAUCACUGUCCUGCCAGUGCAUUAUUUGCUUUAUUUGACUUUCUAAUUUGUGUUUAAUGGUAAUGAUCAUACCAUUAUAUUAUGUGAUCAUGGAGUCAUCAGCAUAUGGACGUACAUGUACAUUGUGAAAUGCCGCAGGGAGCAUCACCAUUGUCUACAGGAGCUCUUUGUUUUAUUUAAUACAUUUUAUAGAAAAAAUAUGUUGAACAUAGAUUUUGUAGUCUUUCCCUGUGGAACCGACCACUCUUAGCUAUUCACACAAUUUUUAAAAGAAAAUGUCAGGAGGAGGAAGUCGAAAUAAUCAACUGUGAUGACAGAAAGAGAGAGAGAAAAAAGGUCGUUUUAUUUUGAAACUCCCCGGUGAUGAACUGUAAAUGGAAAGUCCGACUUAACCACCUGAGGGGUUUAGAUUUGAAUGCACUUUAAUUGAAUCUUGUGUAAUUGACUUUUCUGGGUUACUGCUAUAAAAAAGCCACUCAAGAUGUCUCUCUCUGCCAUAAAAAAGUAAGAUCUUGAUUAAACCCAUUAUUAUAUUAACUUUCUUUAGGAUUGCGACUAAGUAUAUGUACUUCACUCCUGAUUCCUGAGAAAUGGCUGUACUUGAAGAAUCUGACAUUUUUGUUGAAGAUUUGUAUCAGAAAUUGAAAGUUUUGUUAACAGAAAUACACAAAUGUCUUUAAUACAGUUCGCUCUCUCUAUUCAGAACCACAAGAAAAAUUUAUAAUAUGUAUUCUUUUGUAUUUUGUAUUUCUCUGAUGAGUUGCUUGCUGCAUGCAUUCAGCUUUUUUUUUUUAAAGUUAGCUUUAUUUUAAGGACAUAAUGUGUUAAUGCAUUAAACAAUCAACUCUAGCUUUGCAUGUACCGGUUGUUUAAAGAAUCAAUGUGUUAAGUUCUUAUACUUGACAAUUCCUGUUCAAUCAAAUUUUUAACAAAAUGCAAACAAGAUAAUCAGGUUUUAUUUGAUACAUAUCAUGAGCAAUAUUCUUUUUUUCUGUACAGUGGGUAUAGAGGAUUGUCUCUUUCUUAUUAAAACUGUUGUUAAUUAGUUCUUCCAAUAUCUCCAUCACAUUCAUACAGUGUAGCCUGAAAGCUUAAUUACAUAUAUUCCAAAAUAGUUGUGCAACUCUGGUUUUAGCAUGGGAUAUCUUCCAACUCUGCAUAGGUUAUAUGUAGGCAAUAUCCGCAUGAGCCUUUUACAGUAUCAUUAAAAGUGUAAAUUCACCCUGGUAAUAAGUUAGAUUUGAUAAAAGCAGGAAAAGUAGAGAAAAACAUCCAUGAAGGCUUGAUAAGAUCUAUCAAAGGAUAACAGAUAUGAAUUUUAAAUUAUUUAUGACCAAUUCGAGCAGUCUCCCCAUGCAUCACUAUCAUGUGAUUUAAAUUCCAUAAACUCCAAUUAUUUUGAUAUUAUAGAACAUGAAUAUAAAUAUUUUUCUUCCAGGAGGGGAUUCAAAACAAUGUUUUUGGUGGCGUAUCAACUGCAUGAAUAAAAUCACUUUCAAAUUUUCGAGAAUAUAGUAUUUUUCAUAAUACAACAUAAUGGUCAAGCUGAUUGUCAGUUAUGUCACAAAAUCAAAAAUGUAAAAAUUCAAAGCUUUUAUUCUCUUUGAUUGAUUUUCAUCAAAAAUUCAUUUUUUCUGCUUUCAGUAAAAGCAGGACGAAUGUCCUCUUAAUUCAGUUGCUCCUUCCAAAAUAGAUCUGUAAUUCAAGUUUUCCAUGUAAUGUAGCUUUGGAUAUCUCUCAGUAUUGUAGGCUGCGUGCUAUUUCAAAGCAUCAGUGUAUUAUCCCAUGGAAGGAAAUAAACAGAACAGGCUUUUCAAUGAUUCCAACAUUAUCAAGAGAUAUUUCCAUGCCUAAUUUCAAAUUGCAGAACCAAUUUUGAAGGACGGGAUAUGUAUGUUGAGUUGGGCAUAGUGCCACUGCUAAUGUCAGUAUUGACAUAAUUUGUUUAUGAAAUUGUUGAUCUGUAAUCAUCAUUACAGAGAAUAUAAUGACUGUGGAGAUGGAUAUAACCCAAGGACAGAAUUGAUAUUCUGCCACACAAUAUUUCAUCUCAAUUCAAAAUGAGGUUUUAGUGGGGUAUUUCUUUUUUUCGUUUUGUGAGGGAACAUAUUCAUCAUUUACUUGUACACCUGUCACCGAUGUGUGAACCAUCUGUUAUAUUAUGUGCAUAUAUUCAUAUUUGUGUUGGGUAGAAUUGAUUUAGAUUGGUCACCAAGUGUUUAUAUUGUAUAGACAAUCAGUAUGAAGUCCUCUCUUAUAUUAUGGGUGUUUGGGGCUCUUACGUUGGAAUAGAUAAGUUGUUUAAAUGUCAACUGUUUAGAAUGUUUUCCUGUGUUAUGAAAUCAUUUUUCCAUGCGGUUUUGUACUAUAUCCAAGUCCAGUUGUAUUUUAUUAUAUUCGGAUAUGUAUAGAUAUAUUACGCUGUUCAAAGUACAUAUUGAAAUACACAAUGAA